UGAUCUAAAAUUUCUCGAACGUCAUUGC
rnacentral:sRNA from 1 species